AGUGCAUCCUAUCAGCUAAGGCAGGCAAUGAGAGGAGGGAAGGCAUCCUCUUGGAUUUAGAGUGGGCAAAGCUUGGGACUAUCUGGAGAUGAACCCGAGUAACAGGGGCAUAGAAAUACCAGAUCAUCACUGCUGAGCUAUGGGCAGCACCACGGUCCUGUUCCCUGAACCCUGCUACUCAGAGGGGUCUCCAGCUAGAGUGGGCUGCUCAGCUGACAGCCACAUGCUCCUGCAUUUUCAUGGUGUCUUGGGUCUGGGCCCUCCCAGGGCUGACUGAGGGUCCUGGUGAGGAGCAGCUGCCUCCCUGGAGUGGAGUGGGGCAGUGCUGACCAACUUGGGCCUCUGGACAGGUGCUGAGGGAAGAGGGUGAAUCCGAUGUGGUGCGCCGGACCCAUGCAGGUGAUGGACUGAGCAGACCGCUGCCCGGCUCCAGCAAAACAGCCAUCCUGGGAGGAGAAUUGAGGACAAAGCCUUUGAGAGUGGGCACAAAUGAGCGCAGAGAACAAGGCUGCUUGAAAAUCCAGUGUCUGGUUCCCAGGAACUUAGCACCAGAUAACUGUUCCCUGAAAGACUUUUCUCAAACAUUCGGGGGAGGAGAAAGUAAUGGGACAGGCAACAGGGAGGACUGACCUGAAAAUGGCCCCAGGAUCUUCCACAGCCAGAGAUAACCUUGCUUUAACCAUGAUGAAUGCAACUUUUACAAGGGAAGACACCAUCAGGAAAGGGGCUUUUGGCUUAUGCAUUAGACACUCAGGGGGCUGUGAGGUGUUUGAGAAGCCUUCUGCUCCUACUGGACAGGAGCAAUGACCAUCGCACUGCAAUGCUGUGAUACCGUACUCUUGAAGUCAAAAGAGCCAAGUCCACGUCACUGAAUGUGAGCCCAUGAGAGUCACCUGAUUUUGCACAUCGUCUGGCUCAGUCUCUAGUGGUGCCCAAUAAAUGCAUACUG